rnacentral:lncRNA from 1 species
UUUAGGUUCCUUAUGUUUAGAUUAUUAUUUCCGCUAUUUCUGCUAUUUCUGCGGGUGAUACUAAUGCUCUAUUGUUAUUGUUUUUGUUUUUGUUUUUGUUUUUGUUUUACAGCUGAUUUCCCUUUUUCCUAUGCGCCGUGGGACGAUUGGAAACAGCCUCUCUGCCCUUUCGGGUAGGGGUAAGGCUCGUCUACAUAUUACCCUCC